GGCAAGGUGGCCGAGUGGUCUAAGGCGCCAUGUUCAGGUCAUGGUCCUAACGGGCGUGGGUUCGAAUCCCACCCUUGUCA